rnacentral:lncRNA from 1 species
CUGGAUGUGGAGACUUUCGGGGUGGGGUCAGUCACUAUAAAAAGUUUACCCACAAUAGUUUUAACCUGGCCUCGUGGUCUGGUGGUAAAGGAACCUCGGCUGAGGUGCCCGCCAUCACGAGUUCGAGCCCCGGCCACACCGGAUUUAACAUGGUUUCUGUUUGGCCUCCAGGACUUUCCUCGCCAGUUCCGGUUGGACGCGGUGGGAUAAUCGG